rnacentral:rRNA from 1 species
UACGGAGGGUGCAAGCGUUAAUCGGAAUUACUGGGCGUAAAGCGCACGCAGGCGGUUUGUUAAGUCAGAUGUGAAAUCCCCGGGCUCAACCUGGGAACUGCAUUUGAUACUGGCAAGCUUGAGUCUCGUAGAAGGGGGUAGAAUUCCACGUGUAGCGGUGAAAUGCGUAGAGAUGUGGAGGAAUACCGAUGGCGAAGGCGGCCCCCUGGACGAAGACUGACGCUCAGGUGCGAAAGCGUGGGGAGCAAACAGG